rnacentral:lncRNA from 1 species
GAUUGUUGAAGUUUGAUCAACUACAAAGCUUAUUUGAAAGGUAAAUCAUCUCUCUUGGAGGUUUAAGUUGGGUGAUUAAUUUUUGGAAACCAUGAAAGUGAUGUAUUUUGUUGUGAUUAUGGACUUGUAUGGUGGAUGUGAUGUUUAUAUUGAAGUUUCAUGGUUUAUUUUGUUGAGAUAUAGUUGCCUAAAUUUUGGUCAAGACUAUGAAAGGUUAGAGUUUUGCUUCAUGGUUCAUUAAAUUGAUUGGGUUAGUUGUUGGCUUGUAAAUGGAAUUUUUGAUGCAUUACUUGUUCUUGUAUGGUUAGCUUUUAGCAAAAUCAGAUUUGACCAUGAAACCCUAGGCUUCCUUAGGUUAGUUUAGCUUGGCUAAUGUUUAGUUAGUUAGGGUUUGGUUAGUAGGUUGUUAGAUUAAGUUUAUUGAUGCAAAUAAAGUUAGGUUAGGGAUUAUGGUUAGUUUUUGGCAAUUUUGUAGUGACUUAGAGGGAAAGUUUCGGACCAUUUGUAGGUCAUUUAGAAGUUAGUAUAUGUGUGUUUAUUUGGUAUGAAAGUGGUUGGAAGACUUGCAUGGAAACCUUGGAAACGGACCAUGUGUUUGCGACGUUCGAAACUGGCAAAACUGGAAACAGGGUAGUCCACAAAUCCGAACUUGGGUUCUAUUUUUCUUUAUGGUGCGUGUGGAUUCAAAGGUUUCUCAAAACAUUAAAGUUGUAGCUUCUUAAGUCCUUAAUGUGCCUGAAAAAUUUCAGGUCAAACACAUCAGUGUAGCUCGAGUUAUAGCCAAAACACUUGCACCUAUUUUGAACACUGAAUUGUGUUACGCUUUUGGAUUUAGCCUCUGACCAUGCUCGGUUUACCUGGAUAACGUGCGAACUGGGUGUUGACACCUUCAUAAGAAAUGUAGAUCUUGGUUUUAACUUCGAAACAGUAUAACGUACGUCCAAAUCCGAGUUCCGUAGCUCCAGUUAUAACCAAAAUAAGAUCAGUUGUCAGAACUGCCUUUGAAUUUGGACAGUUCUGAAUGGAAUUUUGGACCCAUUUUUCACCCUGCUCAGUAUUGAUUCAGGCUUUUGCCAAAACAUAAAGGUUUUAGCAUUAUGACAUAUCUUUCUAAUACCUUUAGAAUUUCUUGAUUUGGAUUUGCGAGCUAUGAGUUAUGGUCCGGCAAACAGACCCUGUCCGUCACCCUAAAGUGCAAACUUCUGGUACUGUUUUCCAUGAUUUCGACCUGCUUCCAUUCAGAUCGAGAUUAAGGUGUCUUCAUGAAAAUUGUAGCCCUUCCUCUUAGCUUCGCAACAAUCCCAUACACUUUAAUCCGAUAUUCCUAGCCCAACUUAUGAUCAAAACAGUUUGGAAAAGCAAUUAUGCCCAUUUUCGUUUGCCGAUUCCGCACAUGCAUGUGCCAAUUUUGCCGUUUUGCUUGCUUUAGACAUGUUAGUAGCCGUUUGUGAUAUAAUGUGAUCCAAUCUUUUAUUUCAGACGGUGGUGAGUUAGACGGAGCCGGUGGGGCCUACUAACUAUCUUUCGCGACGCGAUUUUCGUACUUUUGCUAUCUUUGUUCUUUGAGUAAGUAUUCGGGCCGUUUUUGUAUAUAACUUGCUUAUGUGUUUUGAGGUGAAUGAAAGAGUACCUAGGCGAGGGUGUACUUCAUCGCACUCGACCUAAACCCUAAUUUACAUGCAUAUUUAUACAUGACAUGUCUAAAUGAAUUAUUUUGGGUUUGAGCCCCUUGAGCUUGUAGCUCGGGGUGACGUUUGUGAGUUGGGGUCGAUCUUCGACCUAGAUGGACUAUUCGAGCCAGCCGGAGCUUGGUCGAAACCAGUCCAACCUAGUCUGAGGUCACCAAGUUUGUGAAUCCGGUUCACCGAGAAUGUGAACCAAGUUUGUGAACCAAGCUUGUGAACCAAGCUCAAUUUCGUUCGCUCGAGCAAUUUUGUGAGGUAACUGGCUAGUGAGGGUGAUAAGGUGUUAGGUGGGUGUACAAGUGGAGUUCUACGGACCUUAAGUGUGGUCAACAGAGGGUCGGCAGGAGGUCACACAUGGCAAAUGACGUGGCUUUGGAGCCAACCUGUAUCCUUCAUUUAUAUUGUUACUUUUGCACUUGACUUGACAUUUUUGUGAAAUAGUUGUUUAUCUUAAUGUUAAAUUUACGCUUUUACCCCCGUUUACUUACUAAGCAUUUAGUUUACCCCAUUUCCUUUGUUUUCCUUAACAGGGGACGACGCGGGAGAACCCUUUUGCACUAUCACUAGUGUAGUUGGGUUUGGUUUGUAAUGAUUGGACAACUAAGAUAUUUCUUUUACUUUAGUGAUCUGUAUAAAGAACCCGUCUUCGGGUCUACUUUUGCUCUUGGUUCGUAGCAUAGAAUUCUGUAGUAGUCUUGAUAACUCCUUUUGAGGACGUAAAUAGAGGUCUUUUGGAGGAUGUAUAUAGUGUGAAUAGUACUCAUUUUGGUUUAUUUAGUUAUUAUUAUUUCGUAUUUUCGAGUCCUGGCGCGAGUUAAGCAGGCGUCUCGCCGAUACCCUCGGGUUCGCCCUUGGGAGAAGUAGGGCGUCACACUUUUUAGUGGUGCAAUUGACUUCUUUAUGAUAUAUACAUGUUGUGUGGCUGGUAUAGAAAGUUUCAUCAAAAAAAUUUCGUGAUUUGGUUGGCCAAAUGUUGUGAUUUCAAAAGUUCCUUCAAAACUGGAAUUGUUUCCGUAUUGCACUGGCAGUGUUUUUCAAACAGCUAUAACAUUUUACUCCGACGUCAAAAUCGAGUGCCGUUUGUGGUAUUCGAAAGUAGACAUUCCCAGUUUUCCAAUGGUAUAAAAUGCAUGUCCAGACUCCACCUGAGUGAAUCGUACCACUCAUUUGAACAUGACUGUCCUGUUUCGCUGGUUCACUGGAGUCCACGUCUUGAGCUGCAACUUGAUGCUCAAAGAUGAGCUAGUUGUAGACAGAUUUUAAAAAUGAUUUCUUCUGAGAAAUUGUAACCUUAUGAAUGAAAUUUCCAACACCACCAACCACACUCAAUUCUGAGUUGAAUUGAGUGAGAUAUGGCCAAAUUACAGACCUGAAUUUUUGCUUGAAAAUCCUCUUUUGGCUAGUUAAAUGGCCUAGCUUGAUUUGGGACUUGUUGUUUUGGAAACUUUGAUGUCAAACAUCUACCAAACUUUAUAUUAGAUGCUCCUUGUACUUUGUUUCACAAAUAAACCAGAUUUGGGUUGGUUGCAUUGGACAAAAUGUUUAAAAAGGAAAGAAGAGCUAGAAGACAGUUUUGCCUUGGAAAAUUUCUUGAACUUUGAUGGUUUAGUUAACUACCUUCCCGUGUGAAUUUUCAAAUGAAAUUUGAUAGAGAAGUAGUUCUCAUAUGAAGGUUUAAUUGUGCAAAAUUUGGUGAUAUUCUAAGACCAUUUUGAUAUGCAAAUGAUGUCCCGAAAUUGCUCUUCGAAUCUGGAAAAUUUUCCUUUUCUCUUUGGCCGAAUGGUCAAAUCUGAUUUGAAAAGUUAUAUUUCGAAAACCUUGAUGUCAAUUACUUCUAAAUUUCUUAUUGGAUGAUUAUGGAACAUUAGUUUCAUUAUUUGAAUUAAUUGAAGUUGAUUGUGUGGAACAAAGCUUUUAAAAAGGAAAAUUGAAGUACAAGGCAGAUUUGCCUUGAAAAUUCUUGAAACUUUAGUGAUUUUGUUAACCAACUUUCCGUACGUAUUUUUAAAUGAAAUUCGACAGAGAAAUAGCCCUUAUAUGGUAGUAUAAUACUGCCAAAUUUGGUGCCAUUCCGAGUCCAUUUCAAUGUUUAACCAAAGUCCCAAAGUUUGUGAUUUGAACCUAGAAAUUGCCUAAAAGUUUUGAUUUCUCAGCAACUUGGAGCUACUAUAUUUUGGUGCUCAAAACUCCGAUUCUUGUUCCGCUUGUUGUGUUUUAAACUUUUUUUAUGACUCUAAUUGAGUUCCAAAUUUCAGAGGUUGGUUCACGUUGUGUGAAUUUUGUCGAAUUUCCAAAUUUUGCCGAAAACCAACCCCGAAACUGUCUCGCAAGCCAAAACAGCAAUUUUGAGAUAAAUUUUGAAUACCUUCCAUUUGGAAUCAUGGAAAAGUGUCUUCUAUAAACUUUUAGUACUUUGGAAUUAGUUUCCAACGGUACCAAUUUUUCCAAUUUUGGACUCAUAGAGAGUGAGAUCUGAUUUUUCAAAGUUUGCUUGCCGAAUCUGAAAUUUCUGAACUUAAAGGAAAUUGAGGGUUUCGAACUCUCCAUUUUCCUCCGAUAUUGCUAGACCGUUUUACACUUGAUUUCAAAGGCGAAAAUCAGAUUUCUCUUAUGUUUUUGAAACCCACUUCCGAGCCUUGAUUAUAAAUAAUUAAGGCUCAAUUCAUGAAUUCUCCUUAGAUUGUACACUAGUACAACUUUCUUUGAUAAGUAGGGGUUUUAAGUGAUAGUGUAUAAUAAUUGAUGGUUAUUUGUUCAGGCGCUCAAGGAGACCUUCAAGAGGAACUCGAAGUGGACGCCUAAACACUUGUUUGAGUACUUACUCACUUGUAUUGAAUAGGUGAGUGUUCUAUAUAGGAGUACGUAAUUUGAAUAAGUCUAUGACAUGCUUAUUCCAUGAUCGUCAAGUGUUAAGUGCUACAUGUUAAGUAUUUACCACACUCAUGCAUAUUUAAGUAAGGUAUACUUGAAUUACUCGAUAUGAAAUACUUGAAAUGCAUAUACUUCAAUUACUCGACAUGAAAUACUUGAAUUGUAUAUUUACGUAAAGUGUUUAAAUGAUUAAUUAUGCUAUGACUGCAUAAGUCGGUUGGAGCGUUAACCGUUAAAAUGACUAAUGUCUACCAAUUAGCCGUGAUUACUAUCGUUAACCGUUAACCGUUAACCGUAAUUACUCAUCGUUUUCCUAUCUACUUGAUUACCUGGUACUUGAUUAUUUGAUUACCGUAAAUUACAUGUUCACAUGAAAUUAUCAAAUAUUACUUACUUGUUUGUGUUAAUUGUUGCAAGUAAUUGCUCAUAUGAAUUUGUCCACCAUUUUAAGGAGAGUGUGUACUUUAUCUCACUCGACCUACCAAAAGAACAAAUUUUUACCGUUCGCCAAGUUAUUUGAUUACUUGUGCAUGUUGUAAGGUCUAAGCUAAACUUGGGCCCUGCCCUUGGUUACUGACCUACUUGAGCCAGGACUGGGUUCAGUCGGAUAGGUUGGAACACUUGGCCACCGUUUCGGUAUACUCGAGUACUACCACUGGAGGGAUAAGGUGAUGGCCAGACAAACCGAGGGGAUCCGGAAGAUAUAAGGUGCAGAUGACCGACAUGGUUCUAUUGGAACACCGUAUCCUUCAAUGUGUGUUUAUUUUGCAUAGAGAUAAUUAUUUCAUGCAAAUGUACCAACGUGCAAAUCUUGUGUCAUACCUGUGACAUGCUCAAAUUACUCGUACCAUGAUAAUUGUCUCAUGUUAAUGUGUCUUACCUGUGAUAUAUGCUCAAAGUAUUCGUAUAAUGUUAAUUGUCUCAUGUUCAUGAACCAACGUGCAACCCCGAACCAUACAUGUGGUAUAUUCAAUUACUUGAUUUAUUAGAACUACUAAAGUGUUUUGGAACCUCACUGGGCUGUGUAGCUCAUCCCACAUUUUUGUUUUUUUUAACAGGGUUCGAGACCAAGAGUGCUCGUGAAUAGUACUAAAUAACUUUUGUUGGAAAAUUUAAAGUUGUAUUAUAGUGGAUGGUUAUAGUACAUAUUCUGUUGGGUUGUACUUAAGCUUGAAAGCUAAACAAUUGUAAGUGUGAAAUAUUUUGAAGUACUUUAAUUAUGUAUUGAAGUUAUUUGAAAUAUUAUUGAAGUAUUCCGAGCUUUUGAAUUGUGGAUUGUAGUGAGUCCCGGCGAGAGUUGGGCAGGCGUCCCGCGAAUACUCUUUGGUUCGCCUUAGGGAGAAGUGGAGGUGUCACAGUUGGUAUCAGAGUUUAGACUUCAGAUCUUUGUAGUGUAUCCUAGGCUUAUAAGUUUUGGAUGUCGGACUGUGGGAUUGGUUUGAAAGUUAAGUGACCGCUUGUAGGGAUGAAAAUCAGAGCCGUUUCGCGUAGUCUGUGCGCGGGGUGAACUUGGGCCAAGUGGUGUUAUGGUCCUUAUUAUGUGAAUGAAUAAAGGCUUAAGUACUCUUCUAGAGUAUAAACUGUGAAUCAUGAAUAUGAUAUGUAUAAACCCCUUUGUCUUGAUAUUUGGGAAAAAUAUUUGGUAAGUAUGUUGGGUAGGAAUCUCAAAUGUGAUGAUUUACUCUUGGGAACUGGCCAACUCGAGAUGUGAAUUAUCUUAUUUCGAAUUCUUGUACCCGAGUACUCAAGCGUUGAGGACAAUGCUAAGGACUUGAGAUCUCCAUUUGCGGGGAAUAAGAAUGAAUCGAUAUUUCACGUGAAUAGUUACAAGAAACCGAUAAUCGUUUGGCUAAGAUGGCACAAUAAUUAAGAGCGAGAGGUGAAGAAGAUCGUGGCCUAGAAGAUCCUUGUGUUGGGGUUAAAGUUGAACAUGUUAGGGAAUGGGGAUCAUUUAGUUCCAAUUAAUCUAGUGAAGCACUACUUGUGAUCUUCCGUAGUGGGACGAUGGGAGUAGAAGUUAAGAGUUUGUGCCUUAGAGAUGGAUGCACUUUUGAUAAUCACUUGUUCAUUUCUGUUUAUUGACUUUGACUUGGCAUAUACUUUACUUGGCUUGUUUGUGACCUCUUGAUUCGUAUUAUGACUUUUGAUAUAUGUAAAGAAUCAUGCUUCUAAUUCUAAAUGUAUUUGUAACUUGUAUAUGCUUUAAGUUCUUCUAUGCCUAAUUAUUCCUUUUCUUACGCCUAUAGACUUAUAUUAAGUAUGCCUCGUCAAGGACAAUGAAUGGGUUGUGGUGUGGGUUUAGGCAACCCGCACUCUUGAGAAAGAAUGAUGGCCGGUCUUAUGUAAUCCAAUGGAAUCUUAGUGAUAGAUAUGAAUCGAAAAUGAACGAGAAGAUUAGACCUACCAGUGAUAUAAAAGAUUGAUCUAGUUGGGUACCUAGAGAGGUUCUCCCCUGUACAAUUUUAAUAAUUGUUCUACCGUAUCUUGUGGUUGGUCAUGUGGACAUGUUUCAAUCUUUUAUGAAUGUUUGAACUUUCGAAAUAUUUCGUUUGUUAUUUGUGAAGUGACUUGAACUCAUUACUUAUCUACUGUACUUAAAAAAAACACUUUCUCUCUCUUAAAAGCAUUUUCUAGAAUAUAUGUUUAUUCAAACGCAAUUCUUAACUCAAAACUUUGAUGAAAUUUUUGAAACAUCCUUCAGUUAUAUGUUAAUUCAUUGUAUACGCUCCUUAAUACCCAUGCAUUGAGUCGCAUGAUUAAUCUUCUUAAAUGUAUUUGAGGAAUUUGAAAUAUGUAUUAAUGACGGUGGCAAAAACAUUACCUAAAGUUUCUUAUUAAGAAAACUUAGUUUCGGACCAUGAAGAAAGGUUUGUAUCUUUUAGCUCUAAUUUUGAAAUUAUGAAUCGUAUUUUGCCACAUACAUAUCUGAAAUACAUAAAAAAAAACCCUUGUUUUUGUCUCACAUAUUAUGAUUGAAUUGAUUUGAACAAAAAUUUGAGUGGUCAUUUGGGACCAAAGAAAUCCGGUUAUUUCUAAAAUUGUUAAUUUUGGAGAUCGAAUGCCAGUAAAUGAUUUUUGAACAAAUUGAGUCAAAGAUUUUGGUAAAGUUAGUUUUCGAUUGAAAAUAUAUCUUCCUAUUCGAGUUUCGAACCACCAGAUGGAAUCAUUUAAUUAGACCUUUAAUUGACCCUGGAGUUGACUAUUCUUGUGAAAACCCUAUUUUCGUGAGUGGUAUAAGUAAAGUGUGAUUGCUGCCCUAUAGUUUGAACGGUAGGAGUCCUAUGAAGAAAUUAGUACUUAAUUGUUAGUGUAAAUUAUAGAAACUGUGAAUUUUGGUAGAUCUAAUGGACCUGGCAUAUAAGGGGUACGAUAUUAUCGUAAGUGUGAAUUUCAAGGACGAAAUUCUUUUAAGGAGGGGAAGUUGUGAGAACCCGAAAUUUUCUUAUUUUAAAUCCCUAUUUCUAACUCAUUUAAUUAUUUAUUUGACCAUUUACUUUGAAUAUUUUAUUUCAACCAUUUUAUAUUCAAUUAUAUGGAAUUAUGGCUCAAGUGUAUUUUUAAAGUGAUUUGUUUCAAAAUUUAUUUUUCGAAAUCUCGUUUAGUGAGAAAAGUGAAUACGCGUUUGGAGACUAUAGCCGAAUUGAGAGUACAAUAAGUUUAAAAAAUUGGAGACUUGUACAUUAGUCUUGAAAUAGGUAUUUUUAUGUUUAAGUGUUCAAGUAUUAGUUAGUGAAGCUAUAGUUAUAAGAAUUUCUUGACAAUUUCACUUUAUCGCGCUUAAAUCGGAAGUACGCGUUUUUACGCGCGCGAUUAAUUGAGGGACUUAAAACCUUUAUUUUUAGACUAUUAAGAAUGAAUAACAAUAGUAUGAAUGAAAGUACAUUAGAGGUUUAGUUCACAAGUGAAACAAACCCGAGAGAAAACGAGCACGAAACGCGCGCGUAUGCGCACUCUCCUUAGUUGACUUUUGGAGCAUUUUGGGCCACACAUUCUUAGGCUUCUCAUGGGAGCAUCACACCAGAUCAAAACUCUCCACUUUAUCACCUCAAACAGCCGUGCAAUUCUUUCUUUUUCCUCUAAACAGCCGUGCAUCACUUCAAGAGGAAGAACACCAAGUUCUUCAAUUUUUCCUCCAUCAAAUCUUUACUAAUCCUCCACCAAAUCACCUCAAAUUUUAACCACGCUUUGCUAAACACUUGGAGAGAACUUCAAGCUAGGAAAGGAGGCUGCUCUCACGAUUUUUCUUUGGCUCAUAAGGAUCGAAAAUUUCUGCUUAGUUUCUCAAGAGAGGUAAUGAACGAUCAAUCCUCCAAAUCUUGAUUUAUGGAAGUAGUAUUGCACUUAUAAACUUGUAUAUUCACAUGGGUAGCUUUAUUUAUGUUGGAUCUUGGUGUGUGGGCUCUAUGAACUCCCACAAUGACUUGAUGGACUGAUUUCAUGAGUUUUGAUGUUGUUAAUGUUGGUUUAGUGCUUAAAUUUGUGGAAAUAAGUUGUAUUGUUGAAAGAAAGCUCAAAGGAGGUGAAGAGCAAAAAUCUUCUGAAUCUGCCCCUGUCAUUUUCGUGUACUUUUGUGCACUUUUUAGGGGUCCAAUUGACUUGUUUAUGAUAUAUACAUGUUGUGUGGGUGGUAUACAUGUUGUUGCUUGCCGAAUCUAAAAUUUUCGAAUUUAAAGGAAAUUGAGGGUUUCGAACUCUCCAUUUUCCUCCGAUAUUACUAGACCGUUUUACACUUGAUUUUAAAGGCGAAAAUCAGAUUUCUCUUGUAUUUUUGAAACCCACUUUCGAGUCUCGAUUAUAAAUAAUUAAGGCUCAAUUCAUGAAUUUUCCUUAGAUUGUACACUAGUACAACUUUCUUUGAUAAGUAGGGGUUCUAAGUGAUAGUGUAUAAUAAUUGAUAGUUAUUUGCUCAGGCGCUCAAGGAGACCUUUAAGAGGAACUCGAAGUGGACGCCUAAACACUUGUUUGAGUACUUACUCACUUGUAUUGAAUAGGUGAGUGUUCCAUAUAGGAGUACGUAAUUUGAAUAAAUCUAUGACAUGCUUAUUCCAUGAUCGUCAAGUGUUAAGUGCUACAUGUUAAGUAUUUACCACACUCAUGCAUAUUUAAGUAAGGUAUACUUGAAUUACUCGAUAUGAAAUACUUGAAGUGCAUAUACUUCAAUUACUCGACAUGAAAUACUUGAAUUGUAUAUUUACGUGAAGUGUUUAAAUGAUUAAUUAUACUAUGACUGCAUAAGUCGGUUGGAGUGAACCUCAUCGACUCUUAAGUGGUAAAAGUGAGAAACGGCCAAUGACGGCCGAUUAAAAUGACUAAUGUCUACCAAUUAACCGUGAUUACUACCGUUAACCGUCAACCGUUAACCGUUAACCGUAAUUACUCACAAUUUUCCUAUCUACUUGAUUACCUGGUACUUGAUUACUUGAUUACCGUAAAUUACAUGUUCACAUGAAAUUAUCAAAUAUUGCUUAUGUGUUUGUGUUAAUUGUUGCUAGUAAUUGCUCAUAUGAAUUUGUUCACCAUUUUAAGGAGAGUGUGUACUUUAUCUCACUCGACCUACCAAAAGAACAAAUUUUUACCAUUCACCAAGUUAUUUGAUUACUUGUGCAUGUUGUAAGCUCUAAGCUGAACUUGGGCCCUACCCUUGGUUAAUGACCUACUCGAGCUAGGACUGGGCUCAAUCGGGUAGGUUGGAACCCUGAGCCACCGUUUCGGUAUACUCGAGUACUACCACUAGAGGGAUAAGGUGAUGGCCAGACAAAUCGAGGGGAUCCGAAAGAUAUAAGGUGUAGAUGACCGACAUGGUUCCACUGGAACACCGUAUCCUUCAAUGUGUGUUUAUUUUGCAUAGAGAUAACUAUUUCAUGCAAAUGUACCAACGUGCAAAUCUUGUGUCAUACCUGUGACAUACUCAAAUUACUUGUACCAUGAUAAUUGUCUCAUGUUAAUGUGUCAUACCUGUGAUAUGAUCAAAGUACUCGUAUAAUGAUAAUUGUCUCAUGUUCAUGAGCCAACGUGCAACCCCAAACCAUACAUAUGGUAUGCUCAAUUACUUGAUUUAUUAGAACUGCUAGAGUGUUUUGGAACCUCACUGGACUGUGUAGCUCAUCCCACGUUUUUGUUUUCUUUAAUAGGGUUCAAAACCAAGAGUGCUCGUGAAUAGUACUAGAUAAUUUUUAUUGAAAAAUUUAAAGUUGUAUUAUAGUGGAUGGUUAUAGUACAUAUUCCUUUGGGUUGUACUUAAGUUUGAAAGCUAAACAAUUGUAAGUGUGAAAUAUUUUGGAGUACUUUAAUUAUGUAUUGAAGUUAUUUGAAGUAUUAUUGAAGUAUUCCAAGCUUUUGAAUUAUGAAUUGUAGUGAAUCCUGACGAGAGUUGGGCAGGUAUCCCGUGGAUACCCUUUGGUUCGCCUUAGGGAGAAGUGGGGCCGUCACACUCCCUCUCUCUCUCUCUUUCGCUUGCUAUUACACACAUAAGAUAAAAUUGGGAAGUGUUCCAAUUGUAUUUCUUCUCUCUUUUCUUGUUUUAGCUUAGAUUUUUUGUAAUCUUUGGCAUUGUACACGCCAACUUACAAGCUCAUGUGAGAAGGGACUAAAAGUCUCUAGCUACCCCUGUAGCGACAAAUGGUUUAUUGCCUGCACAUACUUCAAGCAUAUCAUAUCAAUUUUGUAGAUCUUCCUCCUACAAAUGCUCUUUAUUAAGCGAUACAAAGCAGAAAAUUCCUCCUCUAUGUUGAGAGAAAUAUCCCUUACAGUUUCUUUUUUUUUCCCUGUUUUUUUCUUUUUCUUUUUUCUUGGACAAAUAUUUCGUUCCUCUAUUUGGAUAAUUGAAGAUCUGUGCAUUGACUGUGCAACUGGAGCUAAUCCAUCUAUUGAAAUAUCAUCAUCCUCUAGUUAUCCAUAGAGUGUUUAUUUUUUAUUCUAGGCUUAAAAUAAUUUUUCUGUUGGCUUUUUCUGAUGCAGUUCCUGAAAUUGUCUGCUGCAGACUACAUAAGAAACUUUGAUCCUUCAUCACACGUGAGUCAUAUUUUAUCAUAACAUUAGACUUUACAUUUUCUCAACUAAUAUGUCCUACUAUGAAUUUGUCAGACUUUUCCUCCUAAAGAGCAGCUGCAGCGGCAGUAUUGUAGUGAACUCAACAGUUGAAACUUUAGUAGGUUCAAAUGAUUCUGGACUUUUCCUCCUAGAGAGCAGCUGUAGCGGCAGUAUUGUAGUGAACUCAAUAGUUGAAACUUUAGUAGAUUCAAAUGAUUCUGGACCAAUGAAAGAACUCAACAGUUGAAACUUUAGUAGGUUCAAAUGAUUCUGGACCAGCUUCACUACAAUACUGCUGUUGUAGCUGCUCUAGAGUCAUUUGAACCUACUAAAGUUUCAACUGUUCAUAAUUUGAUUGCUAAAGGUUUGAAAGGGCCUCUUGAACCUACUGAAGAAAAGGUGUUUAUACUGUUAUAUCAAUUUAUGUGGUGUUUAAAAUUGAAAACUAUUAUAUGUUGUGGAAAGUGAUUGCUAAAACUUCAUAUCCGUACUGUUAUCCAGCAAAUCUUAUUGGGGUUGACAGCAAAUGAGCUAAAAGACAAGCUGCCAAAAGGAUAUCUGCCAGUAUGUUGUUUUAUGGGCCUAUUAAUGUCUUCUAUGUUUUUUUUCUACCUAAGAGCUUUUGUAUUUUGUUAUCAGAAACUGGCGAAGAUAAUCCUAACCUUGCUGUUGAAGUUCUCAUUAAGCUUCAAGACUUACCUAAAAUUUUGGAGUAUGUUCCUGGUUUGUUUGAACUUUUAGAAAAUUAAUUUUAUAAGCAUGGUAAUGAAGAAUUUGUUUUGGAAUGCAGGUAUUAUGCUGUUCUUUAUGGUACGGAUGUGAACUCUAACUUGAUAGAAAUGGUUAACAAGCUUCCUAAAGCUGUUAAACAACCUAAACUUGGAUUAUUAAAGCCAUGGAUAAGACGUGGUUCAACUUUUUGGGAAGGCAUCAAGGUCCUUACUCAACUAUCUAAUGUAUUUACACCUUUUCCUCUAUCCCUUAUAUGUGUAUAAUUAACUCUUCACAUCUUAUUUCUUAUAUAAUCUGUUGCAGGAUGGUGAUCCUGAAAAAGCAUUUGACUUUCUCUUUAAGCUUGCAUAAUUCCCUGGCAUGGGAGAGCAUGGUUUAAAUUCAUCUUUUCAUAUGAAAAUUAGAACCUGAAGUUGUCUAUGCUAAUGCGACAAAAUUGUCUAAAUGUAGGCAAUUGACCAGGCUUGUUAAUCCAGAUAUGAUAGAUAAGCGUUUGCAACAUUUUACACCCCCACCUGAAUUCAUUCGGAAUUUCAUAAAAAGCUAUUUGCCAUCCACAGCCACGGUGAUCAUUUACUUAUUUAUUGUGUCUAUUUUUUUAAGCUCUCUUCUCUUCCUUUGAGAGUUGGUGAACUCGAUAAUGAUUGAAUUUAUCUUUUCAGGAUACGUCUCAUCAAGCAAGAUUGGUACUGUACUUCUUGGAUAAGCUGAUCAAGAAAGAGAUUAUCAAGGGUGAGUGUACUUGCUUAAAGUUUUAACGUGUGAAUCUUACCCAUACUAGAGCUAGGAGUUUGCAAUUGAGAUUCUAAUUGAGUUCCAUUGAUUUGGUCCACUUAUUUUGUUUCCUGAAUGGACUGAUUAUUUUGUGGUAGUAGUUGUAAUUGGGGUUGGGAGUUAUGGGCUGUUCUAAUUGAGUUAAUUUUUGCAUUUGUUCUUGGUAGUUGUUUUCUGAAGGUGAGUAUUUUACUGUUAGGUUGGACUGUGUUUUUUAUAGCUUCUGGCUUUUAUUUUUUGUAUCCGAAGUAGCUCAGAAUUUAUUAAUCAUUUUAUGUGUUUUUUUUUAAGUCUUUGAUUUGGUGGUUCCCUGACUAUUUAGGUUGGUUUUUGUCUUUUAAUUUGUUAUUUUGUUGUUGCAUGUCUUGUUUGUAAAUGGUUUCAUAUGUAAAACUUGCAGUUUUGGGUUUUAUCUGAUUAGAGCCCUUUAUUUUUGUGUGCUUGAUUAAGAAGUCUAGGUUGAAGUAUGUAUUGUCUUUGUUAAAUUUCAUCAAGUAGAGUGUUGAGAAGGAUGAAUCUUGGUGCAAUUGUUUUUUGUUAGGGCAAAGGUUUUAUAUAUCAGAAGAGGUUUUGUUCAAAUUAGAAAUAAAGUUCUCAGGGUGUGGUUGAAUUCAAAGCUGUUAUGCAUAAUUUACAGAUAGACAGUAUACGCAAGUCUUAUGUAUUCUCAGGGUGUGGUUUUUGGAUUCUUAGAGAGUUAGUUUUUUUGGACUGCCUGGAGAUGACAUAGGAUUAGUUAUUAUUCAAUUGCCAUUCUAACUUUUGCCCACCAUGGGGAACUUGAAUUUAAUUGCUUGGACUCCUGAUCGUUCUGACAUUUGUGGGUUUGCAUUCCUGAUUUGUUCAUCUGAUUCUUGAGAUGGUUUGUAGAACAUUUCUCUUUUCAAAUAACAAUGCUGGAUUUAUUCUUGGCUCUGGCUUUUCCAUUUGUGGAUUUUGUGAACUUAGAUUAAGUUGCUUUAAAACCACUAUUAUCCAUAACAUGGAAAAGCAUAAAGACCUUUGGGACUAGAUGAGUGACACAAUUUUGGAUUGAUAGACUAUGCUUAAAACAUACAAAUCAAUCUACAAGCCUCAUGUUUAAUUAAUCAUAUGAAUUAUUUUGUAAUUCUCAUGUCUUUAAGUCGAAGACUUUCCAGUAUUGCAUGUUAUCAUUCUAGAGGCUAGAAUAUGUUAGUAACUUUAAGUGCGUAUGGUGGUCUUCAUUUUGUCUUUGUUAAUUUAUUGCAAUGGUGCUGUGCUUUUCUGUUUUGAAUUUAUUCAGUUAUUUAUUCAGUUGGAGG